AUUGAACGCUGGCGGCAGGCUUAACACAUGCAAGUCGAGCGAGCGGCGGACGGGUGAGUAAUGUCUGGGAAACUGCCUGCUGGAGGGGGAUAACUACUGGAAACGGUAGCUAAUACCGCAUACCAUCAGCUGUGCCCAGAUGGGAUUAGCUAGUAGGUGGGGUAAUGGCUCACCUAGGAGACGAUACCUAGCCGGUCUGAGAGGGUCACCAGCCACACUGGAACGGAGACCGGGUCCGUACUCCUACGGGGGGCAGCGGUGGGGAAUAUUGCACAAUGGGGGAAAGCCGAAUGCAGCCAGGCCGGGUGGGUGAAGAAGGCCUUCGGGUUGUAAAGCCCUUUGAGCGAGGAGGCGUUACUCGCAGAAGAAGCACCGGCUAACUCCGUGCCAGCAGCCGCGGUAAUAC
rnacentral:rRNA from 1 species